AGGCUUUCUCUGAGUUUUGUAUUCAUAUCUAAUUAGACUAUUAGAGGAUUCAGAUUUAUUAGGUUUGAUAGCGAAAUUUUGGUUUUUUUAUCUUGUUCUCCUUCUUUUCCAUGUUGUCAACUUCAAUAAUUUCUUUAGGUACCCUCAAUUUAGUCCAUCAGCGAAGGUCAAUUCACAUAAGUUAACCUAAACUCGAUUCAAUCUUCAUCAAAACCUAAAUUUGGAUACCAUUUAGCACUUGCAGCAAGAUUCAACAUGGAAACCUAAAAUCGACAUCAACUACAUCGGUUCUUGAAGAGGAUUUGCAAUAUCAGCAAAAUCAAUUCAUUCGAAAGAUAAGUUUAUUCUUUUACUGUAUUUUCAAUUCAUUCGAAAAACUUGAUCAAUCGGUUUUGAAUAGGUCUGCAACUUAUGAAAACUAUUUCUUAAGGUUCUGAAAAACCUAAAAACCCAUCCAUUUGAUUUGAUUUAAUUUGGGUACCAAUUAAAUUCAUUUGUUGAGAAGAAAUGAAAUAAAGUAAUUGCUCCAAUAAUUCGGUGAGUUGGGUACCAAUUGAUUUCAUUAUGAAGGUGAAUCUGGAGUUGUUCUCGCUAUCUGGUGUUGUCUGUUUUGAUAGAGUUUCUGGUAAUUGUGGAAUUGAAGCUGAAGUGGUGCAGAUGGUUUUCUUGUUGAUGAUUAUGGGUAUAAGAUGAUUUGAGCUCAAUAUCUGGUGUUGGCGGGGUUUCUUGACCUGAGAUGGAUGAGAACUUAGAUUUGUUGGUUGUAGCACAUCAGCAGCAAAAUAAGGGUGUAACUAAGAAUUUAGAUGGAUUCUCCUUUGGACCUGGGUUUGUCCAAAACAUUUGGUGUCUUACUAAUUUUGAUGUUCCCGGUUGCCGUUUCCGCCACAAAAAUUGGAAAGGCUGGAGUUGUAGAUAAAGAACUCGAAAAGCUUAAGAAUAAGCUGGAGAUGAUCGCGGCUGUAACAUCGAAUGCCGAAAAGAAGCAGGUAUAAGCAAACACCAGCCCAAUUGAAGGGGGUGCCUACGAUGUAUGUUGCAGCAGGGAGGAUAUAGCUAAUAAAGAUAUGUUUCUGGAUUUAUAGGUAGAUUCAUGGAUAGCUCCUGCUAAUGUGAGAGCCUCCCUGAACACUGUAUUCUCCUUUUAUGUUAUUUCUGUAUUAUGGAAUUUGCCCUCAACUUUCAGAGAUUAUAUUAAUAGGUGUUAAGGGAAUUCCGUUACUAAAUAUUACUUCCUACCUGUAGAGAAAUAUUGCAUCAACCAUAUUCUUAUCAACAUAUAACCUCAAAGUUGAUAUCUUUUAUAGUA